AAAGUACUCCCUUCGUUCCUAAAUAUAAGUCUUUGUAGAGAUUUUACUAUGGACUACAUACGUACAUCCGUAUGUGGUUCAUAGUAAAAUCUCUAUAAAGACUUAUAUUUAGGAACGGAGGGAGUAAAAA
rnacentral:pre_miRNA from 1 species